UACGUAGGGUGCAAGCGUUGUCCGGAAUUAUUGGGCGUAAAGAGCUCGUAGGCGGUCUGUUGCGUCGGCUGUGAAAACCCGGGGCUCAACUCCGGGCCUGCAGCCGAUACGGGCAGACUAGAGUUCGGCAGGGGCGACUGGAAUUCCUGGUGUAGCGGUGAAAUGCGCAGAUAUCAGGAGGAACACCGGUGGCGAAGGCGGGUCUCUGGGCCGAUACUGACGCUGAGACGCGAAAGCGUGGGGAGCGAACAGG
rnacentral:rRNA from 1 species